rnacentral:lncRNA from 1 species
CUGAUCAUGUGAUUUGAUCUAUUCCUUACCCCACUUUCUCUUUGAUGGUUGUUCAUGGUGUUUCUUUUAUUAUAAUACUACAAAUAAAAUCCCGAAUAAACUCAAACAUUUGAAACCAUAUCUAUUACUAUAAAAUGACAGAAAGGUAAAAAUGUUCAGACCUAUAACAAAUUAGAGAAUGAAGGAAAAAAAUGAUUGUUCAACCAAAUUAUCCAGUAAUGAUUCAAAGGCAAACACAAGAUGAAAUGAUGACACUCAAAUUCUCAACCAGACUUCUGUAAAUGAAGCCUCAACAUCGAGGACAUUCAGCAUCUUUGGCAGCAACUUUGGACAAGGGAUGGCCAAAAGGGGAGAUCCUGAGUAAGAAUUCCCUCUCAGGAAAACACGGAGUGUCCCAUAACCAUGAUAACUAGUAACCACAAGAACCAGUUUUAAGUGCAUCUAAUGGAUCAAUGACGACUCAGCUCUGUGACAUCACUUUUUAAAGCCAGCUAACCAGUGACAGGCCACACUUCUGCAGGUUCACCACUUGGCAGCACAAUCACGUGAGGAACCACCCUUGGGAAAACCAGCUAAUCAGCACCAGAUGCACACUACUAAGUAACAUUGAUCACCCAAAUAGCAAAACCAAAUGCAUGAGCACCUCCACUUCUCAAAGUCCACCCACCUCUUAGCUGCACACCUCUCUGAAUCCUACAUAUAAUCAACUCCCCGCUCUGCUGGGAGAGAUUGUUCCUACAGGCAAAGCUUUCUUUGAGUUAGGCAUGGGAAAGUUCAACUUCAUUGAGUGCUGGCCUCCUUCUUUGUCAAUCUAAUAAAAAGAUCCCUUUGAUUAAUUUAGUUUUUUUAGAGUGAACAUGUUGCUUUCUUGUUUAAUGUGUAGAAUAUUUAUGCAGGGAAUGGUAGAGAACAUGCCUGCAAACUAGUGGAUAGAUCCAACAAAUCUUUUGAAUUUCCCAAUAAAAAUUUUUGGUUAUUUAUGAGAAAGAAACAAUCAAAAGACAAUAAUUUUAUUACAGAAAGUUCAGAAGCAUUUGCUUGGGUUUCUCUUAAGAGAAACAAGAGAGCAGACGUUUCUCAGAACAGUCCCACCUUCAGCGAAUGUUCAGGUUAACAUGCCAUCAGCCAUUACUUCCUUUUGAUAUCUUGUCUUGCUCUGCUUUCUGCACUGAUAUAAGCUUUGUGAACUCACUCUAUCUCACUUCCUCUAUAGCUCUGCCUGGGUUUACACAAGAGAAAAACAAACAGUAAACCUGACAUACAAGACGGUGAUUGCAUAUUAUAUGGUAUCAUACUUUUCAGACAUUUUUUUUUCCUAGAAUAACUACUUCUUUCUGGACCUGAUGAGAACACAGAACACCCAGCUUCUCCCCUUCAUUCUCCCAACACACGCAAAUUAUAGGUGGAUAACUCAUUCCAACUUUUACAGAACAGAAAAACCACUAUGACGUUUAGACUUCUUUUAAAGGAAAGAGAUCAAGGGGUUAAGGAAAAAUCAUCCAAUAAUUUGGUUCAAGAACUCCUUGACCUUAACCCAUUUGCUGUUUGCAGACUCAUACCUGCAUCUAUAAAAUGUGAAAACACCAAAAUAAAAGAGGUGACCUCACAACAGAAAGUAUGUAAAAUUUGACUUCUCCCAUGGUGGUGGAAGGAUUGACAACCAUUCACAUGAUGCACAAACUAAGAUCCAUUAAUGUACUAUUUCUCAUAAGUAAAAGUAACAUGGCCAUGAAUGUAAAACAUUUCCUUAAGCGUUAUUCAAAUUUAACUUCAAUUUUAAUAACGGGCACUUUUCCCUGAUCUUUAAAUGAUUCAUAACAACUGAUAAUGUGAUAUAGGAACCAUUGAGUCAGCUUUCUAUAUUGGAAUAAUUUAAGAGAUAGAAAAUGCACUUAAUAAUUUCAAAUGUUUCUUUAAUAUCAUAGUUAACAUUCUUGUUGCUAAUGAGCUGUUUCUAAAUUGCAUUACUCCUUAGAGAAUAUGCUUAUAGUCUUUCCUUCAAACUCUAUAAUAAUAGUUUAUUCAAUUAAAAAUAGAGGAUAAGAUAUUCCUAAAACUAUAGACAGAAUAGGGAAUGUAGAGUUUAAACACAAGUAAAAAGAUGCUACAUAAUUUCUAGUUUAUGGCAGGUUUACCUUCUUUGAGACCCCAAGUCGUGGGUGGUGUCGAGUGCAGGACUAAGCACGCCAGAGACUUUAAGAUGGACGCAGUCAGAGGACACGCCUUUCGGAGGAAAUCAGUGAACCACCACUUUGUGUAAGCUGUACCUUUCAGAGACACGGUAUGUACUUGCUAAGUCAGUCAGUGUCCCAAGAGGAAUUAGACAUCACGCUGAGCUGGGAUAUUUAUAAUGAUGUGUGCAAGGUCAAAAUAAAACCAAAAGGAAUGUUUUAGACUCAGAAUUUAGCAACUGCAAGGACCUAUGAUCAAACAUAGGCAUAAUCCAAGGGGAGAGAGCUGCUUGAGAACCCAAAGAGAGAGAGCUGUAGGUAUAGAAAAGGGUCACCCGUAAGAAGCAGUGACCUUCAGUGAAGCACCACAUCACUGUCAACCCACAGUUCAGCAGGCAGGAAACCACAGGAGUAAAGAGUCAAACCUCAUUCCCCUCCCAGGCUAUGAUCUGCUCCCAGUACCUCCCAUUGCACAGAUUCAGUUGGAAGCCUGGGGACAAAGGAGCAAGUUGAAACAGUCCAUAAAGGUCAGCCAGAGAAGUCGGAGGGGAGAAUCCUUGUCCUGGCCUUUUCCAGCUUCUAGAGGCUGCCUCCGUUCCUUGGCUCGUGGCCCCUCCCUCCAUCUUUAGAGCCAGUAAUGGCUGGUUGAGUUUUUCUCACAUCACAUACUCUCUCUGACUCUUCUGCCUUCUUCUCCCACUUUUCAGGACCCUUGAUUACAUUGGGCCCAUCUGGAUAACCCAGGAUAAUCUCCCCAUCUCAAAAUCAGCUGACAAACAAA